UGUUUUGCUGAAAAACAGAAGCUAUUUAUGAAAACCUACAAACAUGAUGCAUGACAAUAUCUCAUGAUAGCAUAGUAGCAUGCUGGUCUUCAUAUCUAAUGGGAAUGUCAUUAUGGUGUUUUCAGGUUUAAAAUCAAACCACAGCAGUGUUGGAGAAGUUGGAGAAGAAAACGUUUCCUGGCACACAAGUCAAACUAUCACAUUCAUCAUCACACCACAGGAAGAACUUCUUUAACAGUUUAGGAGUGUAAAGGAGAUCUUACCGGGGACCCCAAGACAAGCCUAGAGUGUGAGGACACUAGUGGACGAUUUACAAGGUCCUGCAGUGUGGACCUGUCAACUGAAUGAGCACUCAAGUCAUGUGCUUUCAUCAUGUGAGGAUGGACGGAUGGGGAGGAUAGUCAAGAGGGUCUGCCCACAGCCUUUCCCGAGGUAUGAGCAUUUUUAGGACAAACAUCCAAGACAAUAUUGAUAGCAGAGACACAGCAGUAGAACCGGACGUGACAAUGGUCCAUCCAGAGAUGUUGGCUGGAGCUGAAGACCUGGCUGUGAGCUGUAGAGACACAGAACAGAUUUCACUCCUCAAACACAGCGUUUCUCAGCCAGCUCCACACUGUGAGUUUUCUGCCAGCCGCUCUUCACAAGCAGCCUGGCCGCAGUCGCCGUGAGAAACCAUCCUAUUUGUUGUGUCUGCACCCAAAAAAUAAUAAACAAAAAGACCUGGGAGGGUAGAACAAGAAAGUGGGAUAUCUAAAGGGGGGGGGGUUGGGUUGCCCACAUGGGACGUGAGCCAUCAAAGCUGGACAGGUUCCUCAUCAUAUGGCAGCACACGGUUCUCACUGAACACGACAGCCACAACAACUCGAAAGCCAAACCCGCCACACCAGGCUCUCUACGAAAUUUUGGAUCGGGCGGAUGGCUUGUCUUCAGUCGAUGACUAGAGAUAACAUGCGGGGCUCGUGUGUGGAUCCCGAUGGUUUCAGCGUUUGAUGACAAUGACUACAGCGAAGCCAAAGUGCUAAGAACCUAUUCACAAACAGAGUUUGGAUGAAGAAGCGCGACAGCGGCCAGCUGGAAACAACCUUCAAGUGCAACUGCAGAAGUGUGAUAGCACUCAAGCCAACACACACUGACCACGUCCAAAAAAACAACCUUCCCCUGACACCAAAACUUCAAAGACGCUCCACCAUUCGGCACCAGAUUGCCAGGCCCCCGCUCUCGCCACACAUCAGUACCCAGCCUGCUGCCUGAUCCCUGAAGGAUGGACCAACACCUGCUGUUGGCAGGCGCUUCCUCCCCCUUCCUCGUUUCCCCGUGCGCUGUCUUCGUGAGCUCCAGAGCUUCGGGGGGAUUCACCGUGGGGGAAGAAAAGGGGUAGGGGGGUAUCGCAGAGAUCCUACCCUCGCCGCUGAACUGGCUCAAUGUUCUUCCCCUUCACUGCCUGAAGCCCCUCGUGUUGUGUCCAUAUGGUUCCUGCAUCUUUCUUUUUGUUUCAAUGGGUCUUUUAGGUCUUGCUGGGAUUGCUAGAUGGUUGACCCCAUGUGCAUAAAGGAUGAAGGAGUGAAACUAACCAGAAAACAUUAAAGACAGAAUAAAUACAGCAUGUGGUGAAUAGGCAGUCAUGCGCGGGAGUCAACGAGCCCUCGUCUUCAUUGACUAAUGGGUCAUAAAUGGUGCGAUAAUCCCACUACACAGUAAUUCAUGGUUACGUACUCAAAGUGAACUGUGGUUAGUUAAAUAGAGCUAGAGAGACAUUAAACCAAAUUAAACAAAAUCAGAUUUAUUGAUUAAAUGUGUGUUGACUUUAAUGACCUUGAGGGGUUUUUUUUC